GAAGGUGUAGCUUAGUGGUAGAGUGUAUGCUUAGCAUGCACUAGGCCCUGGGUUCAAUCCCCAGUACCUCCA
rnacentral:tRNA from 1 species